rnacentral:rRNA from 1 species
AUUGAACGCUGGCGGCAGGCCUAACACAUGCAGGUUGAGCGGGGUUUUCGGACCUAGCGGCGGACGGGUGAGUAAUGCGUAGGAAGCUGCCCGAUAGAGGGGGAUACCAGUUGGAAACGACUGUUAAUACCGCAUAAUGUCUACGGACCAAAGUGUGGGACCUUCGGGCCACAUGCUAUCGGAUGCGCCUACGUGGGAUUAGCUAGUUGGUGAGGUAAUGGCUCACCAAGGCGACGAUAUCUAGCUGGUUUGAGAGGAUGAUCAGCCACACUGGAACUGAGACACGGUCCAGACUCCUACGGGAGGCAGCAGUGGGGAAUAUUGGACAAUGGGCGCAAGCCUGAUCCAGCCAUGCCACGUGUGUGAAGAAGGCCUUCGGGUUGUAAAGCACUUUCAGCGAGGAGGAAGGGUGGUGUGUUAAUAGCACAUCAUUUUGACGUUACUCGCAGAAGAAGCACCGGCUAACUCUGUGCCAGCCGCCGCGGUAAGAC